GCCCAAGGACAUCAUCAGAGGACAUUGGUAGCUUUGCAGUAACCUGCCUUGGUUGCUUACAUGUUCCCUGACCUACAUGUUUGCAAAUCCACAUAAUGUUUCUUGGUCAUGCAGGUUCCUAUAAAUGAUGUCUGUUCGCAGAAGACUGAAGCCCCAGUUUCAACUAGCUUUUACAAGAAUUGAGGGGAUUGGAGCAGCAAAUGGUGAUGGACUUGUGGAAAGGAAAACUAAACCAAGUUCUGGACUUUCUGCUACUGAAUUCGAACCAACAGCAGUUGAAGUGUUAGAGAGAGAAGAUAUUAAGACACCCAACCCUGUGAGAAGCAAGUCCUGCUCAGUGGAGAAGUGA
rnacentral:lncRNA from 1 species